rnacentral:rRNA from 1 species
UUGGAGGGCAAGUCUGGUGCCAGCAGCCGCGGUAAUUCCAGCUCCAAUAGCGUAUAUUAAAGUUGUUGCAGUUAAAAAGCUCGUAGUUGAAUUUCGAGGUCAAAUUGUCGGUCGUGCCUCGGUACGUACUGGCAUUAUUGAUUUCUCCCUUCUGACGAUCCGCGAUGUCAUUAAUUUGGUGUCGUGGGGAAUCAGGACUGUUACUUUGAAAAAAUUAGAGUGUUUAAAGCAGGC